AUUGAACGCUGGCGGCAUGCCUUACACAUGCAAGUCGAACGAGUGGCGAACGGGUGAGUAACGCCUGGGAACGUACCGGGUAAAGGGGGAUAACUGUUCGAAAGGAUAGCUAAUACCGCAUACUAUUCGAUCGGCCGAUGUCUGAUUAGCUGGUUGGCGGGGUAAAGGCUCACCAAGGCGACGAUCAGUAGCGGGUCUGAGAGGAUGACCGGCCACACUGGAACUGAGACACGGUCCAGACUCCUACGGGAGGCAGCAGUGGGGAAUUUUGGACAAUGGGCGCAAGCCUGAUCCAGCCAUGCCGCGUGUCUGAAGAAGGCCUUCGGGUUGUAAAGGACUUUUGUCAGGGAGGCGGUACCUGCAGAAUAAGCACCGGCUAACUACGUGCCAGCAGCCGCGGUAAUAC
rnacentral:rRNA from 1 species